UACGUAGGGGGCGAGCGUUGUCCGGAUUUAUUGGGCGUAAAGAGCGUGUAGGCGGCCAGGUAGGUCCGUUGUGAAAACUCGAGGCUCAACCUCCAGACGUCGACGGAAACCGUGUGGCUAGAGUCCGGAAGAGGAGAGUGGAAUUCCUGGUGUAGCGGUGAAAUGCGCAGAUAUCAGGAAGAACACCAAUGGCGAAGGCAGCUCUCUGGGACGGUACUGACGCUGAGACGCGAAAGCGUGGGGAGCGAACAGG
rnacentral:rRNA from 1 species